rnacentral:rRNA from 1 species
CAAGGAAUUUUCGUCAAUGGGCGCAAGCCUGAACGAGCAACGCCGCGUGGAGGAUGACGGCCUUCGGGUUGUAAACUCCUUUUGGGGGGGACGAUGAUGACGGUACCCUCCGAAUCAGCCCCGGCUAACUCUGUGCCAGCAGCCGCGGUAAGACAGAGGGGGCAAGCGUUGUCCGGAAUUACUGGGCGUACAGCGCACGCAGGUGGCCAGGCAAGUGAGUGGUGAAAGCCCCGCGCUCAACGCGGGGAGGCCCAUUCAGACUGCCCGGCUUGAGGGAUGCAGAGGGUCGCGGAAUUGCCGGUGUAGUGGUGAAAUGCGUAGAGAUCGGCAGGAACACCAAGGCCGAAGGGAGCGACCUGGGCAUCACCUGACACUCAGGUGCGACAGCGUGGGGAGCCAA